rnacentral:rRNA from 1 species
AUUGAACGCUGGCGGCAUGCCUUACACAUGCAAGUCGAACGGCAGCACGGGAGCAAUCCUGGUGGCGAGUGGCGAACGGGUGCGUAAUAUAUCGGAACGUGCCCAGUCGUGGGGGAUCACGCAGCGAAAGCUGUGCUAAUACCGUAUCAGAACUACGGAUGAAAGCGGGGGAUCGCCAGACCUCGCGCGAGUGGAGCGGCCGUGAUCAGAUUAGCCAGUUGGUGGGGUAAAGGCCCACCAAGGCGACGAGCUGUAGCUGGACUGAGAGGACGACCAGCCACACUGGAACGGAGACACGGUCCAGACUCCUACGGGAGGCAGCAGUGGGGAGUUUUGGACAAUGGGCGCAAGCCUGAUCCAGCAAUGCCGCGUGCAGGAUGAAGGCCUUCGGGUUGUAAACUGCUUUUGUACGGAACGAAACGGUCCUUUCUAAUACAAGGGGCUAAUGACGGUACCGUAAGAAUAAGCACCGGCUAACUACGUGCCAGCCGCCGCAGUAA